AUACGGAGGGUGCAAGCGUUACUCGGAAUCACUGGGCGUAAAGCGCGCGCAGGCGGGCUGAUAAGUUGGAUGUGAAAGCCUACGGCUCAACCGUCGAACUGCAUCCAAAACUGUCAGUCUAGAGUGUGGGAGAGGAAGAUGGAAUUAGUUGUGUAGGGGUAAAAUCCGUAGAGAUAACUAGGAAUACCAAAAGCGAAGGCAAUCUUCUGGAACACUACUGACGCUGAGGCGCGAAGGCGUGGGGAGCAAACAGGAUUAGAAACCCCAGUAGUCC
rnacentral:rRNA from 1 species